UAGUUGUUGUUGUUUGUGCGGACUCUCCAAAAUGUUGUUGCAACCAUGUCGGAUCCUCCAAAAUGCACUUCUUUGGAGGAUCUCAUACACAACGGCGAUAUUUUUGGAGGGUCCGAGCAACAUAUGGGUGGUAUUGUAAUCGUAGCAACUUAUCUUCCCUGCUGAGAUUGAGGGGUGAUGUUUUUAUGGUUGCCACCAAGAUUUCCAAGAAGGAUUACAUUGGUAAACAUGCUUGAUUAAGGUGGCCUAGACUAACAUGAAAAGUUGGCAAGUUCAAAAAGGUUUCUUACAAUGAGGAAGCAGAUAGUUUGCAAGCAAUCUGAAAAACAGCAGGAGUGUUGUGAAUCUUUUCAAUUAACUUUGUCUAAAAUGAAAUGUCAAAUCAAGAUUCUACAUUAGAAUAAAUUGUAGAAAGAAUUGCUCUAGGAUUUAUGUUUGCUAGAUGUUCAUGAGCUGAAACUUUCACCGAGUGUAAUCGUUUUCCUUCUCUUUGUUGUUUCACUGAGCCUGAUAGUUUUCGUCAAGAAUUUCUGUUGUUUAGAUAUAUAGUUCAUAUUUGUUUCCACAGCACCUGAUCAGACUCUUGUACAAGCUUUAUGAUACCACGAGACAGUUUAUAAUCAAAUCAAAAUUAGUCCUUGAACCCAAAUUUUACCGACAUUGCACAUAGAUAUUUACGUGAAAAAUGGUAAAAUUGUAACGAAUAUUGGAUUUUGAACCUAUAAUUCUAAAAAUACAAUAUAUGUAGUGCGAAAAUCCUAUAUUCACUCCACACCUAAGAAUGGGGUAUCCUAGGUUUGGAGUGGGCAACCGGCUAUCCUUGAUAGGAAUGAAGUUAUUUAUUAUUAAUUCCACAAAUUGUUAAAUUGAAUUUAGUUUUUUCAUUUGAAGUUUGGAGUAUUAGUAUUAUUUUUUGGGGAAUUUUUUAUUUAAAAAAAGUCAAAUCUUUUUGUACAUAUGUGAUAUGUCCAAUCGUGUGCUUAAGCAAAUUUUUACUUGCAUAAUUUGAAUUUUGUUUCUUUGAAGUUUGGAUUGCUUGAAACAGGAAGGGUAAACAAAUUAAGAAUUAGAAGAAAUGAAUUUAAACAACAAAAAAUGCUAAAAAGAAUAAGAUUGAGUAAAGAAUGACUAAAUUGCCCUACUAUCAUGUCUUCGUUCAGUCUCAAUAUUAAGUAAAAGGAAGGGCAUAAAAGUGAAGGGAGGAUACAACAGGCUACUGGAGUAUAAAAUAACCUGGGAAAAAGAGUAUUUUGCCACUCAACUCUAGACGGAAAGAAUGAGGGAGCAGAGAGGUAGUUGGGAGUCUUUAAUGGUGGUUGUCCUCUCUCUGUUCCCUAUGAUUUCCUUUUCCGUUUUGCUGUACUCCUAAAACACCAUUGCUAGAAAAUGGACAUAGAUUGCCGCUUAAACUUCCCAAUUUUACAGUUUAGGGUUUACUAUCUAAACCCAUAAUCUGCUUCUGCUUCUUCACUUCUUUUCCUCCCUUUUCCUAUGGCUAGCUUUUAAUGUAAAGGAUGAUGAGGCUGUGAUGAUUAAAGGUGUCUAGAGUUGGGUCGGGCAAAUGGAGUGACCCGUAUCUUGGCAGGGCAACCCGGAAGGCAUCUUCGUGGCUGCAACCGGGUCUGCUGCCAUGGCGGUUGCAUUGUCUCCAUUGACUGAUUUUAUCACAGGUUUGAGCCUCAAAAUUUAAAGUGAGAGCUUGUUUGGCUUAGCUGAAUUUAAAGUAGCUUUCCGAGUGCUGAAAAGCACUAUUUAAGAGGGAUCGGGCAGCACUCGGGUCCGGACUACAAAGGUCUAUUGUAUGCAGCCUUAUCCUGCAUUUCUGCAAGAGGCUGUUUCAACGGCUCGAACAGAUGAUGAAGCUGUGAUGAUAAAAGGUGUUUAGAGCUGGAUGGGGCAUUGGAAUGACCCGUAUCUUGACGGGGCGACCCGGAAGGCAUCUUCAUGGUUGCAACCGAGGUAUGCAGCCAUGGCGGUUGCAUUGUCUCUGCUGAUCUUAUAAAUCACAGAUCUGAGCCUCAAAAUUGAGGGAUUUAUUUGGCCCUUUUCCCUUUUAAAAUUGGAUGGAGACCAAAAUUGUUAGAUUUUUUGUGUAUAUUAAAGGACCAUCAUAAACCUCCUCAAAGAUGACGGAUCAUUUUUCUCAAGAGAAGUGUAUGCUUUUUACGUACUGUACGGACUAUUUGAUCAUUUUCUGGAAAACCUGCUACAUUACCCUCCAUUUGAAUUGGAUUAGCCCAGAAAUGGAGAGAAUGAGGCAACAGAGUGUAUGGGAUUUUUUUUACAAGGGUGGUUGCCCGUCUCUGCUUUGCCUAUGAUUCUCCAACUUUUAAAACAAACCAACAGCCCUUAAAAUAGAAAAAGAGAAAGAGAGAUGAUAGCACUUCAGUUUUCUGGGUUUCUUUGCUUUUUUGCACCCUAAAUGCAUACUCAAAACCCAAUACAUACAACUAUACUGCAACAACUAUGCUACCUUCAGAUCUUAAAGAGGCAGUGAUGAUGAUGUUUCUUAUAUCUGGGCUAACUGAUUUGGCAUUGAGAUGACCCAAUCCGUAUCUUGGCGUGGCAAGUCUGUAUGGCCUGUGAUUGAGAGUUGAGACUCUUCCCUCUCACAUGCAAUUGGUGUUGCAGCCAUGGCGUGGUUGGCUUCUCUUUUGCCUUAUCAUAACAACAAAUCUGAGCCUCAAUUUGCUGAAGAAAAUAUUGGGUGUGUUUGGUAUGAAGGAAAAUGUUUUCUGAAAAACACUUAUUUUUGGUGUUUGGGAAUAAGCAGAACAUAUUGCCUAAAGAGCAUUUAAUGUGACGGAUGAAGAGGCUGUGAUGAUUAAAGGUGUCUAGGGUUGUGUUGGGCAUUGGAGCGACCCGUAUCUUGGCGGGGCAACCCCGAAGGUCUGUUUGAUAGAGGUCUGCAGCCAUGGCGGUUGCUUUGUUUCCGUUGCCUGAUUUUAUUCUCAGAUCUGAGCCUCAAAAUUGAAGCAAUUACUGCAUUUGUUACCCAGUUAAGUUUAACUGGAGUGUUGAAGAAAACUGUUGUGAAUUAAAAGUUUACUUGUAAUCUGGCUAUUUUUGAAUUUCUCCCAAAAUAGUAGUCCAACCUGUAUACACUAAGAACUAUUUUGAUCAUUUUCUCGAAAACCUGCUAUAUUAGUACUGAGACGGCAAGAAUGAGGCAACAGAGAGUACGGGAUUAUUUACAAGGGUGGUUGCCCCUCUCUGCUUUGCCUAUGAUUAUCCUUUUUUAAACAAACCAACAGCCCUUAAAAAGAAAGAAGAAAGAGAGAGAGUACUUCAGUUUGUGGGUUUAUCUGCAUUUUUACACCCAUAAUUGAACUCAAAGACCCAAUACUCACAACUAUACCACACUACAACUAUGCGGCUUUCAGAUCUUAAAAGAGGCAGUGAUGAUGAUGAUUCUUUUCUAUUUCUGGGCUAACUAAUUCGGGCAUGGAGAUUACCUGACCCGUAUCUUGGCGUGGCAACCCGGCAUGGCCUGUGAAUGAGACUCUUCUCUCACACAUGGAACUGAUGUUCAAUGUUUUGCAGCCAUGGCAUGGUUGGUUUCCCUUUUGCCUUUCCAUGACACAAAUCUGAGCCUCAAUUUGAAAAAAAUUUAUCUUUUUGCAUUAUCUUCUGGGGGAUGAGGCUGUGAUGAAAUGUCGAAAGGUGUCCAGAGUUGGUCCGGCAUUGGAGCAGCCCGUAUCCUGGCUGGGCGACCGGGAGGCUGGUUGCAACCAGGUCCGGAUGGUGGUUGCAUUUUCUACAUUGACUGAUUUUAUCACAGAUCUGAGCAUCAAACUUGAAGUAAAAGCAUGUUUGGAUUAGCUGAAUUGAAGUAGCUUUUAAGCGCAUUUUUUAGGAGGACGUUUGGAUGGGCUUUAAAAAAAGCUUGUUUCGGUGUUUGGCUUCGUAGACUUUGUUGUGGUCUACAAAGAAACAGCUGGGCUACUGGUGAAUGAUUCUGUUUUCCGCAAGGUGCUCUGGUCUUAUUUUUACACCAUAAACAGAAACUGGAAUACUCAACUCAAGAACAGAAUGAGGCUGCAUAUGGAUGGAAAGUUUCUAAGGGUGUUGCCUUCCAUCAGCAUGCCUGUGAUAUCUCUGUAUUCUGCUACUGACAAAGCAGCACCCCUUCUUUCAUGCUUAGCUAGCUCUCUAAUGGUUAUCUGCCAUAUUUCUCACACUAUGUGCUUCUUCUUUCUUGGUCCAUAUCUUUUCCUUUUCACAAAUCUCAAUCACUAUGAGCAAUAUUGCUGUUUCUUAUCUGUAGGCUGUGAUGAUAAAGUUUCUUGACCUUAUUGGGUUUGGGUUCAUAUCCUGGCGGGUUUAACCAGGAUAUUGUAAGCAGAGUCUUUUCUUUCUAGCAUGCAAUCCUUGUUUGCAGCCGUUGUGGUGUCCCUUUCCUUCACCUGAUUUUAUGACAGAUCUGAGCCUGCUUAUGUACUCAUGAGUGUCAGUUCAUAGAUAGAUAUCUAAAAAUAGAUGAAAAUAACUUCCUGAAGAAAGAGAAGGACAAUGGUGAAUAAAAGUGAAAACUACUUUCCCGUUUGAUGAAAAAGGAAUGGUUAGAUUCUUAAUGCAGACUUACACGGGCUUUCGGUUAAAAGUUCUCUUGUUGGAUUAGCCCAGAAAAUGGCGAGAAUGAGGCAACAGAGAAUAUGGGAUUUUCUUUCAAGGGUGGUUGCCCCUCUCUGCCUUGUCUAUGAUUCUCCCCCUUCUCAACUAACCAACAGCCCUUAAGAGACAGAAAGAGAAACACAUCACUUCAGUUUCUGGUUUUCUGGAUGACUAUUUGUGAAAUUUCCCCAAUAUACAAGUGUAUCACAACAAGUGCACGCCUUCAGAUCUUCAGUCUUUCUGCUCAUGGCCCUUUGCAUGUUUCUUUCAGUUCACUCUCACUGUUCAUUGUUAAUGGAACCUUAAAAUGGGCUGUGAUGAUGCUUAUGAAUCUUUCUAUUGUUGGGCUGAUCAUUGAGAUGACCCGACCCGUAUCUUGGUGUGGCAACCCGGUAUGGCUGUGAUUGGGAACUCCUCUCUCGCGUGCAACCGGUGUUUUGCAGCCAUGGCAUGGUUGUCUUCUCUUUUGCCUUGUCAUUAUACGCGUCUGAGCCCCAAUUUGCUGGAAAACAUUAGUAGGCGUUUGGACAAUAUUGAGUUGAAGUUGAGAAAUUCCCUUAAAAGCAGACUUGUGAGGUCUCUUCGGUUAAAAGCUCUCAUCUAAAUUAAUUUAUGUUUAUUAGAUUAGCCCAUCCCCAGACUCCACGGCGUGGGAUAAUACUGGGUAUGUUGUUUAUUAGAUUAGACCAGAAAUGGCGAGAAUGAGGCAGCAGAGAGUGUGGGAUUUUUUACAAGGGUGGUUGCCCCUCUCUGCAUGCCUGUGAUUCUCCCUUUCUCAACAAACCAACAACCUUUCCAAAAGAACGAGAGAAAGAGACAUAUAAUAGCACUUCAGUAUCUGGGUUUCCUUGCAUUUUUGCACCCUUUUAAUUUAUACUCUCACGGACUAUACAACAACUACGUGGCCUUCAGAUCUUUAAUUGAGACAGUGAUGAUGAUUUUUUCAGUAUCUGGGCUAAUGAAUCCGGGCAUGGACAUAACUCGACCUGUAUCUUGGCGUGGCAACACGGUAUGCCCUGUGAUUGAGAGUCUUCUCUCUCUCACACACAUACAACUGGUGUUUUGCAGCCAUGGCGUUAUUGGCCUCUCUUUUGCCUUUGACAUAACAACACAUCCGAGCCUCAUUUGCUAAAGAAAUUAUCUUUUCCAUAUUGAGGUGGGAAAUAUUGAACCCACACCCUUUAAAUUACUAGUUAUAAAGCUUUUAACUUUAAAAAGAUCUCCUAUUUUUUUAUCAGUAAUUGGAAUAUUCGCUAUAUAAUCCUCCAUAUAAGCUAAUUCCCUUAGCCCAGAAAUGGUGAGAAUGAGGCAACAGAGAGUACGGGAUUUCUCUCAAGGGUGGUUGCCCCCUCUCUGCUUUGUCUAUGAUUCUCCCUUUUCAACAAACCAACAGCCCAUGAGAGACAACACUUCCAUUUCUGGGUUUCUUUGCAUUUUUGCACCCUUUGUUUGGAAAGCCACCUUGUAAUCGGAUUUAGGGUGUAAGCAUGUGUAAUUAAACAGUUUUUGAUUGUUUGUAUGGUUAAGUAAACUUGGUUAGCAUGGAUUUGGGUAUAAUCACACAACUAUAGUACGACCUUCAGAUCAUCGGUCCAUCUCCUUAUGGCUUUGAGAACUCAUUAAAGAGGCAGCGAUGUUGAUGUUUCUUAUAUCUGAGCUAACUAAUUCGUGCAUGGAGUUACCCGGCCCGUAUCUUGGCGUGGCAACCCUGUAUGGCCUGUGAUUUAGACUCUUCUCACUCAUGUGUAACCGGUGUUUUGCAGCGAUAUCAUGGUUAGCUUCUCUUUUGCCUUAUCAUAACACAUCUAAGUGCUGAGCAGAUCUAGUAUUUGAACUUUGUGGGUUUGAGUUCGAGAUUUUACCACAACUCUUUUGAUUUACUGUGUUGAAAAUCAAUUAUUUGUACUUAUUAGUGAAAUUUUUAACUCAUAUGCAAGGCUCGAGUCAAAGCUACUGAGUUCGGAUGAACCCAUGACUAAACCUCUCCAUCCGCCCCUGACUGAGCCUCAAUUUGCUAAAGUGAUUAUACCUUUUCCUUGACGCGGGAGUGACAGCCAAAGAAUGAGAUAUUAUAGUGAAAUGUGGGAAUAUGGUGGUUGCCGUUCUUUUCUGAUUCUUUUUACAGGUUCUCUCGUCUUCUGUUUUACCCCAUGAACAGAAACUGGAAUUCUCAGGAUUCCCCUUGUAUUCUCAACUCGAGAACAAGAAUAAUGCUGCAUUGGAUGGGAAGUUUCUAAAGGUGUUGCCUCCUAUCUGCUGGCCUGUGAUAUCUCUGGAAUUGUUCACAAAGCUCAAUGGAAAUUUGUUCUAUUAUCCUCCAUCUAAGCUAAUUCCCUUUGUUAGAUUAGUCCGGAAUUGGCUAGAAUGAGGCAACAGACAGUAUGGGAUUUCUUUCAAGGGUGGUUGCCCAUUGCCCCUCUCUGCUUUGUCCACCAUUCUACAUUUUUUGACAAACCAACAGCCCUUGAAAAAGAGAGAGAGAGAGAGAGAGCACGCUUCAAUUUCUGGAUUUCUUUGAAUUUUUGCGCCCUACAUAUAUUCAAAACCUAAACACGCAACUACACUACAAUAACUGCACGACCUCCAGCUCUUCAGUCUGGCUCAUGACCUUGACUGCUAUUACCCGACCCGUAUCUUGGCGUGGCAACCCUGUAUGUCCUGUGAUCGGGGCUCUUCUCACUGAUGGGCAACCGGUGUUUUGCAGCCAUGGCGUGGUUGGCUUCUGUUUUGCUUAUCAUAAUGGCAGAUCUGAGCCCCAAUUUUCUACAGAAAAUCUCUUAUUUUGAUAUGGGAGAUAGAAGCCACGCCCUUUUUAUUACUAGCUAAUGCUUUUCACCCGUAUUGUUUCGCUAUUUUUGAUCAUUAACAGCUCGAGAAUGAGACGUUAGAGUGAAAUGUGCAAUUUUUGUAACAGUGGUUGUCCCCUCCUCUUCCAUGCAACCAAGGCGUGGCUGGCUUCUCUUUGCCUGAUGAGCCUCAACUUUAAUAUCAAUCAGCUAUUCCUCAAUCCGAAUUAGUUGGAUCGGGCUAUAUGAAUCCUCUGUUUCCAUUCUGCUCUAUUUAGGUUCUCUGGUCUUACUUUUACACCAUGAACAGAAACUGGAAUUCUCAACUCGAGAACAAGGAUGAGGCUGCAUAGGAUGGGAAGUUUCUAAGGGUUCCUUUUUAUUCUGCUGCUUUCAAAGAAACAUACGUUCUUUCAUGCUUAGUGGACGCUCUUAUGCGUAUUCAGAAUCUGCUCUCAUUAUUGUCUUAUUUCUUGGUCAUUUGAGGAUAGAGAGGUGGUUUCCAAUAAACCUUCAAAGUUGAACAGUUACAAAUUAAGAUGUUUGAUAUUCAUUGCAUAACGUAUGUAGUCAAA